AGAGUUUGAUCCUGGCUCAGGACGAACGCUGGCGGCGUGCUUAACACAUGCAAGUCGAACGAUGAAGCCUAGCUUGCUAGGUGGAUUAGUGGCGAACGGGUGAGUAAUACGUGAGUGACCUACCUUUGACUCUGGGAUAAGCCUGGGAAACUGGGUCUAAUACCGGAUACGACCAAUCUCCGCAUGGGGUGUUGGUGGAAAGCGUUAUGGAGUGGUUUUAGAUGGGCUCACGGCCUAUCAGCUUGUUGGUGAGGUAAUGGCUUACCAAGGCGACGACGGGUAGCCGGCCUGAGAGGGUGACCGGCCACACCGGGACUGAGACACGGCCCAGACUCCUACGGGAGGCAGCAGUGGGGAAUAUUGCACAAUGGGCGCAAGCCUGAUGCAGCGACGCCGCGUGAGGGAUGACGGCCUUCGGGUUGUAAACCUCUGUUAGCAUCGAAGAAGCGAAAGUGACGGUAGGUGCAGAGAAAGCGCCGGCUAACUACGUG
rnacentral:rRNA from 1 species